UACGUAGGGUGCGAGCGUUAAUCGGAAUUACUGGGCGUAAAGCGUGCGCAGGCGGUGAUGUAAGACAGAUGUGAAAUCCCCGGGCUCCAACCUGGGAACUGCAUUUGUGACUGCAUCGCUGGAGUGCGGCAGAGGGGGGAUGGAAUUCCGCGUGUAGCAGGUGAAAUGCGUAGAUAUGCGGAGGAACACCGAUGGCGAAGGCAAUCCCCUGGGCCUGCACUGACGCUCAUGCACGAAAGCG
rnacentral:rRNA from 1 species